rfam:TPA: Bos taurus chromosome 4, whole genome shotgun sequence.
UCCCUUGUGGCUUAGCUGGUAAAGAAUCCACCUGCAAUGUGGGAGACCUGGGUUCAAUCCCUGGGUUGGGAA